GCGUUUAUAGCUCAGUUGGUUAGAGCACCACCUUGACAUGGUGGGGGUCGGUGGUUCGAGUCCACUCGGACGCACCA
rnacentral:tRNA from 2 species